rnacentral:rRNA from 1 species
UUUGAUCCUGGUUCAGGACGAACGCUGGCGGCGUGUUUAACACAAGCAAGUCGAAGGAAUGAACUCAAACGGAUUUUUUUGGAAUGAAGUUUGGAUGAUUUAGUGGCGAACGGGUGAGUAACACUUGAGAAACCUGCCUUUCACAGAGGGAUAGCCGUUGGAAACGACGAUUAAUACCUCAUGACAUCAAGAUACCGCAUGGUAAUUUGAUUAAAGAUUUAUCGGUGAAAGAUGGUCUCGCGUCUGAUUAGCUAGUUGGUAAGGUAGUGGCUUACCAAGGCGACGAUCAGUAGCCGGCCUGAGAGGGUGAACGGCCACACUGGAACUGAGACACGGUCCAGACUCCUACGGGAGGCAGCAGUGGGGAAUUUUGCACAAUGGGGGAAACCCUGAUGCAGCGACGUCGCGUGAACGAUGAAGGCCUUCGGGUUGUAAAGUUCUGUCCUUGGCGAAGAUAAUGACGGUAGCCAAGGAGGAAGCCCCGGCUAACUACGUGCCAGCAGCCGCGGUAAUACGUAGGGGGCGAGCGUUGUCCGGAAUUAUUGGGCGUAAAGGGUACGUAGGCGGUUUUUUAAGUCAGCAGUUAAAGCGCGGGGCUCAACCCCGUAAAGCUGUUGAAACUGGAGAACUUGAGAGAUGGAGAGGAAAGUGGAAUUCCUAGUGUAGCGGUGAAAUGCGUAGAUAUUAGGAGGAAUACCGGUGGCGAAGGCGACUUUCUGGACAUCAACUGACGCUGAGGUACGAAAGCGUGGGGAGCAAACAGGAUUAGAUACCCUGGUAGUCCACGCCGUAAACGAUGAGUGCUAGGUGUCGGGGGUCAAACCUCGGUGCCGUCGUAA